GGAGAGGAAACGGAAUCAGAAAGAUUUUUCUUUACUUCUGAAAAAUGAAUUCAGUACAAACGGAAAUUUCUGGGCGAAAAGAUUACUGUGAAUUGGAUACAGACUCAUACGAUGAUUCGCAAGCUGCCCCAAAUUUCGAUGUAGUUGAGGAGACUCGAUCAAGUUCUCAAACCUAAGGAUCAAGAAAAAAUCCAAAUGCAGUUCCGCAAAGGAAUUGAACGAGAAUACUGAGGAAGACCCUGAUGUUAUCGAGAUGAUUCUGCCAUAGUUCGAUGAGAAAGGAUCAGAAAAGUUACGAAACUGUUCAAAAAUGCAUUUUCUGUUUUAUUUAUUCUUUAUAAGAUUUGAACUUUAUUUCAUGCGCACGCAUAAUUAUAGAAUAAUGCAGUAAAGUUGUCAUUGUGUGUGUGUGAAAUGAGUUGGCUAAACUGGGUGUGUGUUUUGUUAUGGGAUCAGGUGGUAUGAUUGAGAAACUAAAAGUGGAUCAAUGCAAAGUUUAUUUGAGGAAGCACAGCAGGCAAUAGAAAUACCCUUAUACAGCGGAUUAAGAAACAUCUCGAUAUUGUUCAUGAUGGUGUGGAGAAGAGGUAUUCGGCUUCUAGUUUUGUUUUAAUUGCAGAGUCCAUAUCCGGUAGCAAGAAUCGAAAACCAGAACAAACGCAAGAAGUCAUCAGAUUCCAUACCAAUGAACCCAGAGAAACAAGAAAACCAACCUCAGAAGCAGCGGCAGGAGAGAGAGAAUGCUGCCCAUGAAGAGCAGUAUUCUCAACAGGAAUAUAGGCGUCCCAAAACUUGUGGAGUGAACGCAAGAAGUCAUCAGAUUCCAUACCAAUGAACCCAGAGAAACAAGAAAACCAACCUCAGAAGCAGCGGCAGGAGAGAGAGAAUGCUGCCCAUGAAGAGCAGUAUUCUCAACAGGAAUAUAGGCGUCCCAAAACUUGUGGAGUGAGCAUUCCGCAGCAACUAGAAAGUAUGCUUGGAAAACCGAAUAAUCUUUGGUGUUGGUGCAUUCUAGAUAUAUAGAGCAGUGAAUGCAGUGAUGAGACAACAAUGGAUGUGUUGAUCCUUCACGAUUUUUGUAGUGAGUUUCCUUGUUUUAUAGAAAUAAAGUUGAGAAGGCCCGUUAAUCUGUGUUUUUCUUUA